AAUCUCUGCAAGGUUUUCCUAAAAUGAAGUUUUAAUUUGGUAUACAAGAGGAACUUUAAAAAAUAAAAAGACAAACCCACAUUAGACUCCCCUCCUCCCCAUCCUAAUGAAACUCUCACUCACGACCAUAUUUUGUACAUUCAAGGGAAGAGGUGAAAAAAAAGGAAAGAGAACAAAAUAAUGGGAAACCAACCACAUUCUGUAGUAGAUGACUGAAAGCUAUUAAAUAGCAAGAAUAACAAGAGAGUGAACCGUAAUUCUCUAACCAAAUGGGUUUGCCUCCACUAGCCUGGUCUAAACUCCCUGUGUGGUAUUUUAACAGUGGGACCAAAUCAACUAUUUGAGUUUAUAUUAAUUGCUAUAAUACUUGCAGGGUGAAGAUACCUCAUUUAAUUUUUUUAGGCCAUAAAGUUUUAUUUC
rnacentral:lncRNA from 1 species